GCCAGACUCCUACGGGAGGCAGCAGUGGGGGAUAUUGCACAAUGGGGGGAACCCUGAUGCAGCGACGCCGCGUGAGUGAAGAAGUAAUUCGUUAUGUAAAGCUCUAUCAGCAGGGAAGAAUAAAUGACGGUACCUGAGUAAGAAGCCCCGGCUAACUACGUGCCAGCAGCCGCGGUAAUACGUAGGGGGCAAGCGUUAUCCGGAUUUACUGGGUGUAAAGGGAGCGCAGGCGGCACGGCAAGCCUGAUGUGAAAGCCCGCGGCCCAACCGCGGGACUGCAUUGGGAACUACCGGGCUGGAGUGCCGGAGAGGUAGGCGGAAUUCCUAGUGUAGCGGUGAAAUGCGUAGAUAUUAGGAGGAACACCAGUGGCGAAGGCGGCCUACGGGACGGUGACUGACGCUGAGGCUCGAAAGCGUGGGGAGCAAACAGGAUUAGAUACCCGCGUAG
rnacentral:rRNA from 1 species